CUUGGGGCGGGGGGAGGUGUUCCUCAGCCUGGAUUGUGAAAGGAUGCAGGCCAGGCUGAGGGACCCCACCGGUGCACA
rnacentral:pre_miRNA from 1 species